UGGGGAAUUUUGGACAAUGGGGGCAACCCUGAUCCAGCAAUGCCGCGUGCAGGAAGAAGGCCUUCGGGUUGUAAACUGCUUUUGUACGGAACGAAAAGGCUCUGGUUAAUACCUGGGGCACAUGACGGUACCGUAAGAAUAAGCACCGGCUAACUACGUGCCAGCAGCCGCGGUAAUACGUAGGGUGCGAGCGUUAAUCGGAAUUACUGGGCGUAAAGCGUGCGCAGGCGGUGCUGUAAGACAGGCGUGAAAUCCCCGGGCUUAACCUGGGAAUGGCGCUUGUGACUGCAGUGCUGGAGUGUGGCAGAGGGGGAUGGAAUUCCGCGUGUAGCAGUGAAAUGCGUAGAUAUGCGGAGGAACACCGAUGGCGAAGGCAAUCCCCUGGGCCUGCACUGACGCUCAUGCACGAAAGCGUGGGGAGCAAAC
rnacentral:rRNA from 1 species